rnacentral:lncRNA from 1 species
AUCGCAGUGGCAACCCAGUAGAACGGGCCACUAGCUUCCAACCAAGUGGUUCGGAUUCGAAUUGUAAUGGAUCCUGCGGCUUCGAUUAAAUAUCAGGAUGUAUAUGACUGCGAGGGAGCUGAUUCACAUUCGGAAGAGUUAGUUGCGCCGAAUCGCCCCCUCCAAUCUCAUUUUCUGUACCAAAAAAAAGAAAAAAAAUCUUA